rnacentral:rRNA from 1 species
CAGCCGCCGCGGUAAUACGAGGGGGGCAAGCGUUGUUCGGAAUUAUUGGGCGUAAAGGGUGCGUAGGCGGUUUGGCAAGUUUGGUGUGAAAUCUUCGGGCUCAACUCGAAGUCUGCACCGAAAACUGCCGGGCUUGAGUAUGGGAGAGGUGAGUGGAAUUUCCGGUGUAGCGGUGAAAUGCGUAGAUAUCGGAAGGAACACCUGUGGCGAAAGCGGCCCACUGGACCAUUACUGACGCUGAGGCGCGAAAGCUAGGGGAGCAAACAGGAUUAGAUACCCCCGUAGUCCCUGUCUCUUAUAC